rnacentral:lncRNA from 1 species
UCUCCGGUUUCUUGCUGCACUAUCUCGUUCCAUUCCAUGGAUUGUUCCUUGGGUGAUCAUCAGAUUUCCAACCCUGUGUUCCCUUCAACUCCACGUUUGUGUGAGCCACCUUUCCGCUACUAGGGCAAGACAGCUAAGAAUGUCAGCUGACAGGGGGAAAGGUUUAUUUUGCCUCAUGGUUUUAUUGAGGUAGGACAGAAAAAAUACAGUUAGAGAGAAGACCAGGAACUCGAAAUUUUAACAAUUGUACUUUGGAAGAAAAUUGCAGCUUCAGAACACAAGCCUGGUUUAUUUACAACCUCACCCCCCAAGAGCAAACCUGAGCAACUCCCUUUCGGCUCUAGCCAUUCCCUUUUGCUUGCAAAUGGUCCUCUUUCUCCCAGGAAGGACCUCCCUUUUGGUUUUCUCCUAGGAGGAACCACUGCCAGCCACUCCCGCUGAGUAGUCAACUCCAGAGAGUUCCACCUCCUAAAACACAAAAGCUCCCAGCGCCCAACUGUGCGCUCCUCAUUGCUCUGAGCACCGUGGUCAGCAAGCUCUAUUGCUUUAAGGCCUGUGCUGAGAGCGUCAGCCAGGAAGCAGUGAGAAGGAAAGAGCCGGAGAGGAAAGGGGCCAGGGAUGAGAGCCACCCCCCAAAGGCCGGCCUGGGGCGCCCCACUUCCUCAGCUCGGAACUCUUCAGGUGCUUGACCCCUGACAGCACUGGCGGAGCCCUUGAGCACCACUGCAUCAUGGGAGAAGCCCUGCUGCAUCAUGGGAGAAGCCCUGCAUACGGGUCUCUAGGGGGCACCGUAAGGACAAGCAGGCACCUGAUACCCAAGACCAUGUCCAGCUGUCUUCUACAGCUCUUCCUCUGCGUAGUACUCUCUGAUGCUCCUCCACGCACCUCAGACUAAACUCGUUGCCCUUCAACCUCAGCACCUGGAUUCUCCUGUUGCUCCCUGCUGAACCAGCAGGAAGUUUCCAGAUGUGCUGCCUACAGAAUGGCGAAGGUCAGGAAGUCUCACCUCAGCAUUCACCAGGAGGUCUCUCCAUUCUUCUUCUUGCUGGGAAGCAAGGGAAGGUUAUUGGCAUGCAAGUGACUGUCACCCCUUCUGCAUUCGCUGAGGGCCAGGGAUCCGAAGAUCACAGUGUACACUUAGCAGUUCUUUGCCUGUGGUAUACAAGAGCCUGGAGUCUAUCAGCUGCAUCCACCACACGAUAACAGGCACAGCUCACCUUGAAGGUGCGGAGACCCCCAAGCCUUCCCUUAGCCUGGAUAAGUGAUGGCGAACCUUUGAGAGCUUUCAAUGAUACAAACAGCCUGCUGUGGCAUGAGUGCCACAGGUUUGCCAUCCGUGACCUACAUGCUUCUCACCCAACCUGCUUCUCCACAAG